rnacentral:snRNA from 1 species
GUGCUUGCUUCGGCAGCACAUAUACUAAACAGAGAAGAUUAGCAUGGCCCCUGUGCAAUGAUGACAUGAAAAUUCAUGAAGCGUUCCAUAUUUAA